CUGGGACUGCGCGGGUACUGCGGUGAGCUUCGGGGUCUGGUGUGGCUGGUGCAUGUGCAGCCACUGCCUCCGGCCUCGGUGAUUGCGAAACUGAGGGGCAGUGGAUGCAGCGAGACCUGACAUGCCUUUUAAGAGAAGAAAGAUGCGUGAAGACUGCCCCACACUUGGUGCAUUCAUAUGGUUUUUCUCCAGCAGAAAUCUCCUUGUACAGGAACUGAUGAGAAAGAAAUGAGUUCAUUAAUAAACCAAGUGAAGGAAUGAUGUCAUCCUUACCUACUGAGGCCAGGUUCCGGAAGGUCUCCAGCAUCACAUCUCUGUAGAGGUUCCUCUGAGCAGAAUCCAGCAAAGCCCACUCCUCCAUGGUGAAGUCCACAGCCACAUCCUCAAAGACCACUGAGUCCUAAGACAAACCACAUAGGUGUGCAGGAGGAUUGGUGACACUGAAGGUACUGGGGAACUGGACUCAAUUCAUAAAUUCAAACAAGAUUCUGUCGUGUCCCAACACCACCUCUAUGUCGUGAAUGUUAGAUCUUUUACUGGUUCACAGUCACUUCCUCAUAAACUUCACAGCACCGCUAUCAGUCUGAACUUAUCUCUGCCUUUUUACUGGGACCGCUUAUUUUCCUCUACCAGCAGGGUCUAGAGAGAAAUGCUAUGCAAAUGAAGUAACUUUUCCGUUUGAAACGCUGCAUAAUGCAGCCGGCCUCAGUUGUCCAAACGAUGCAUAUUUCAUAGGUCUUUUGGACAAGCCUUCGAUCGGCUACUGGAGAAAACCG
rnacentral:antisense_RNA from 1 species